AGGGACACAUCCAUCCAUGAGGUCAGAGUUAGCAGAUCCACUCGAAGGGAGGAUAUCGACAAAAACCUUAUGAGUUUACUGGAUGAUCUCCGGGGGACUGACAAUUUCCCAGCUUCUGUCAUUCAAAGGGAAAAGGAUUUCAACAGCUUCUUGGCAGCUAUUGAUGAACAGAAGAUACAAGACAUAUUAAUACAUGCAUCAGAGAUCUCACGCAGCUACAGCCAGAAACUUCUGGUCAUGACUGAUGA